GACCGAUAGUGAACCAGUACCGUGAGGGAAAGUGAAAACUACUUCGAAUAGAAUGGUGAAAUAGAUCCUGAAACCAUACGCUUACAAGCUGUCGGAGCCCUUUUAAUUUUAUUAUUAAGAGUAGGGUGACGACGUGCCUUUUGCAUAAUGAACCUACGAGUUAAUUUUUCCGGCAAGGUUAAGUAGUUCAGCUAUGGAGCCGUAGCGAAAGCGAGUCUGAAUAGGGCAUUUAGUCGGAAGAAUUAGACGCGAAACCGAGUGAUCUACCCAUGAGCAGGUUGAAGCUGUGGUAACACAUAGUGGAGGACCGAACCGGUUGACGUUGAAAAGUCUUCGGAUGACUUGUGGGUAGGGGUGAAAGGCUAAUCAAACUCGGAGAUAGCUCGUACUCCCCGAAAUGCAUUUAGGUGCAGCAUCGUGUUAAAUAUGACAGAGGUAGAGCUACUGAUUGGAUGAAGGGGUUUCAUCACCUACUAAUUCCUGAUAAACUCCGAAUGCUGUUAUUAUGUUUCACGGUAGUGAGGGCAUGGGUGCUAAGAUCCAUGUCCAAGAGGGAAACAACCCAGAUCAUCAGUUAAGGCCCCUAAGUAUAUAUUAAGUUGUAUAAACAAAGUUUAAUUACACACACUACGGAUGUUGGCUUAGAAGCAG
rnacentral:rRNA from 1 species